rnacentral:rRNA from 1 species
CGGAAUCGCUAGUAAUCGUGGAUCAGAAUGCCACGGUGAAUACGUUCCCGGGCCUUGUACACACCGCCCGUCACACCAUGGGAGUGGGUUGCAAAAGAAGUAGGUAGCUUAACCUUCGGGAGGGCGCUUACCACUUUGUGAUUCAUGACUGGGGUGAAGUCGUAACAAGGUAACCGUAGGGGAACCUGCGGUUGGAUCACCUCCUUACCUUAAAGAAGC